rnacentral:rRNA from 1 species
UUCGCUGACGAGUGGCGGACGGGUGAGUAAUGUCUGGGAAACUGCCUGAUGGAGGGGGAUAACUACUGGAAACGGUAGCUAAUACCGCAUAACGUCGCAAGACCAAAGAGGGGGACCUUCGGGCCUCUUGCCAUCGGAUGUGCCCAGAUGGGAUUAGCUAGUAGGUGGGGUAACGGCUCACCUAGGCGACGAUCCCUAGCUGGUCUGAGAGGAUGACCAGCCACACUGGAACUGAGACACGGUCCAGACUCCUACGGGAGGCAGCAGUGGGGAAAUAUUGCACAAUGGGCGCAAGCCUGAUGCAGCCAUGCCGCGUGUAUGAAGAAGGCCUUCGGGUUGUAAAGUACUUUCAGCGGGGAGGAAGGGAGUAAAGUUAAUACCUUUGCUCAUUGACGUUACCCGCAGAAGAAGCACCGCCUAACUCCGUGCCAGCAGCCGCGGUAAUACGGAGGGUGCAAGCGUUAAUCGGAAUUACUGGGCGUAAAGCGCACGCAGGCGGUUUGUUAAGUCAGAUGUGAAAUCCCCGGGCUCAACCUGGGAACUGCAUCUGAUACUGGCAAGCUUGAGUCUCGUAGAGGGGGGUAGAAUUCCAGGUGUAGCGGUGAAAUGCGUAGAGAUCUGGAGGAAUAUCGGUGGCGAAGGCGGCCCCCUGGACGAAGACUGACGCUCAGGUGCGAAAGCGUGGGGAGCAAACAGGAUUAGAUACCCUGGUAGUCCACGCCGUAAACGAUGUCGACUUGGAGGUUGUGCCCUUGAGGCGUGGCUUCCGGAGCUAACGCGUUAAGUCGACCGCCUGGGGAGUACGGCCGCAAGGUUAAAACUCAAAUGAAUUGACGGGGGCCCGCACAAGCGGUGGAGCAUGUGGUUUAAUUCGAUGCAACGCGAAGAACCUUACCUGGUCUUGACAUCCACGGAAGUUUUCAGAGAUGAGAAUGUGCCUUCGGGAACCGUGAGACAGGUGCUGCAUGGCUGUCGUCAGCUCGUGUUGUGAAAUGUUGGGUUAAGUCCCGCAACGAGCGCAACCCUUAUCCUUUGUUGCCAGCGGUCCGGCCGGGAACUCAAAGGAGACUGCCAGUGAUAAACUGGAGGA